rnacentral:lncRNA from 1 species
AUGAUGGCCAUUUUAAAGACGGGGAAACUGAGGCACAGAGGAAGGAGUCCCUUGGCCAAGUUCACAGAGGGGCAAACCGCAGGGUCAGGGCUGGUCUCAUUUCCAGGGCCAGGACUGCUAACCACCACCCUGCUGCCAGGUAGCCCCAGAAGCUUGCACAGGUUCGCUAAGCCAAAAAGGUUUGACGAAGGCUUGUGGAAUUUUCCUGUGGAUCCUGUGCCCUUUGAUUCUUAUGCCAGAUUACACACCGCAGAUUACGUGCAAGGACGCAGACAAUUGUGUCAGAGGAAGUCGUUAGAGGUACACAGGAGAACUUCGCAGACGGAGAUACUGAGGCCCAGAGCAGGGGGGAGACGCCCCAAGUAUCUCGUGGCAGGUAAGUGGCAAAGGCAGAACUAAAAAGAAAUUUCUUACGUUUGUACCACAAUUUGUAAUUCCUGUCCAUUCCUGCCCUGUUCUUUGUUUUUUAAAAACAUACUUAACAAAACAAUCUUUGUUUCCUCUCUUUUUUCUGUUGAGAUUGGCACCUGAGCUAACGUCUGUGGCCAAUCUUCUUUUUUGUUUUCCUUCUUCUUCUCCACAAAGCCCCCCAGUACAUAGUUGUAUAUUCUAGUUGUGGGUCCUUCUGGUUGUGCUGUGUGGGACGCUGCCUCAGCAUGGCCUGAUGAGCGGUGCCAUGUCCAUGCCCAGGAUCCGAACUGGUGAAACCCUGGGCCGCCAAAGCAGAGUAUGCAAACUUAACCACUCGGUCAUGGGACCGGCCCCACAAAACAACCUUAAUGUUAUAAUUCUAAGUGCUGGAGAAGAUAUAGGGACACAAAUGUUCUCACACACAAUUGGCCAGAGUGUAAAUUGGAAAAACGGUUUGGCAGUAUCUAUCAAAACUUUUAAUGCAAAGGUCCAUUCAUUGAAUAAUUCCAUUGCCAAGAAUUGUUCCUACAAAUAUAUUCACAUAUGUAUGCAAAGAUGUGUGUGCAAGGAUGAUCAUCAUAGUACUGCCUUUUAUACCUAAAAAAUAGGGAAAAAAAACCCACCCCAGCAACCCUAAAUGUCUGUAAAUGGAGACUCAAAUAAGAUGUGUGACAUCCACACAGGGAGUAUUAUACAGCCAAGAAAAGGAAUGGAGUAGACCAAUUUAUACUCCCUCUAACAGUCUUUGAGUAUGGCUAUUUCUCCAUAAAUUUAGGUAUUUUCAAACUUUAAAAUAUUGGCCAAUUCGAUAGGUAAAAAAGUGCAUCUUAUUGUUUUUACUUACAUUUCUUAAUUAUGAGUGAGGUUGGACAUUUUUCAUAUAGUCCUUGUUCAUUUUAAAUUCUUUUUCUGGGAAUGUCCUUUUCAUGUACAGCUUUUGCCCAUUUUUCUGUUAGGCUUUCACUCUUUUUCUCACUUACUUGUACGA